UGGCUCAGAGGUUAAAGCGUCUGCCUCCAAUGCGGACGACCCAGGUUCAAUCCCUGG
rnacentral:tRNA from 1 species